AGCAGUCGCCGCGGGAAUACGUAGGUGGCAAGCGUUGUCCGGAAUUAUUGGGCGUAAAGCGCGCGCAGGCGGAUCAGUUAGUCUGUCUUAAAAGUUCGGGGCUUAACCCCGUGAGGGGAUGGAAACUGCUGAUCUAGAGUAUCGGAGAGGAAAGUGGAAUUCCUAGUGUAGCGGUGAAAUGCGUAGAUAUUAGGAAGAACACCAGUGGCGAAGGCGACUUUCUGGACGAAAACUGACGCUGAGGCGCGAAAGCCAGGGGAGCGAACGGGAUUAGAUACCCGGGUAGUCCCUGUCUCUUAUACA
rnacentral:rRNA from 1 species